UUUUCCACUGUCAGAGCCAAAUGGUCUUCGGAGGCGUUACCCCCGGCUUAUUCGGACGCCAGCUGUCUCGGCCCCGCGGGACCAUAUAUAUCCCUCCCGCACUCACACUCUCUUCUUCAGGACACUUUCUCACACUAGAAUCAGAGCGCUCCAUCAACGGCCUCUUCCCUUCCGAACGUUCGUUGCCAAACUCAAACGCUAGAUAAUUACCAAGCAAUCGGAGCAAGAGGGAGCAGAAUCGAAAGGAGUUUCUCGCCUGAUCCCGGUGAUGCAAAAUAGAGAAGAGAAGAGAACGGCGAACUCUUAUGUCAUUGAGAUUGGUUCCGAUAUAACAGAGUGGGGAAGAACGAAGCAGUUGCUCUUGAUGAAGUGAUUGCUUGGCAAAAGAAAAACAGUUGGUCCUGUCAAAUCAGGCUGGUGGAUUUUCGCAUCUGCUAGGAAUACUGGUCAUGAUGAUGAACGAUAUGAGAUAUAUACUAGUGUUUGGAUCAACUUUUGAGACUGAUUUGAGUUUAGGCAAAAUGAUCUCAAUCAAUUUGUUGAAAUCGAAGGACGGUCCGUUCAUGUAAAGUUUGUUGUAAACAAUUAGGGAUGCAUGAAAUAUAACCACACAACCCACUAAGAUGGAAAUGGAGGACAUAGAUGUAAAUAAUAAAGUUGAGGUCAAGGAAUCCAACUCUAAUUGCUACAUUCAACACUCCAUCAUGUAAGAAUGUUGUG